rnacentral:tRNA from 2 species
GUGAUUGUAGCUCAGCUGGUUAGAGCGCCAGAUUGUGGCUCUGGAGGCCGAGGGUUCGAAUCCCUUCAAUCACC